UGACAGGAGUUGAAUUUACAAGUCCAACAAGGCAUUUGUCCUACCCUGAAGGUGAUGAUUGCAGCAAUAUAUGAACACGCAGGAUUUUGACAGCACUUAAGAGGAAUAUCUGUCUCAAAAUGGGGAAAGAUGUGAGGAAAAAAAAAAACAUGCAGUGAGUGAAGAAACAUUAAAUUAAAUUUUAUAACAGAUAAUAAAAGUCAGGUCUGUAAAAAAAAUCGUGGAAGAAGAAAAAGAGCAGGAUUUGUGAAAGUACAAAGGAAUAAAGCAGCAUGAUUCAUUCAGAAGUUUAAAACACAUUGGUGACACCUUUUAGAAAAGAAACUUUUAAAUACAAGUAAGAGAAGCAGAGUGUAGUGGCAGAGGAGGAGAGAAGAGAAGCAGCAGCUGGACAUCGGAGAAAAGCAGCUUGACUUUGGAGGGAUGGCUUGAUGGUGGGACUUCACAGAAGAGUUCGACCGUCCUCAGAGAAAUGGAAAUCCUUGGAGAAUGUCCGUCUCCAUGAUAUUUGGUACCUGGCAUAUCUAAACCCAGGACAAGUGUUCACAGCACAGCAAUCAAAACUUCUCAGGCCACUGUGA
rnacentral:lncRNA from 1 species